rnacentral:rRNA from 1 species
AACGUAGGUGGCGAGCGUUAUCCGGAUUUACUGGGCGUAAAGCGUGUGCAGGCGGGGUAUCAAGUGGUGUAUGAAAUCGCUCGGCUUAACCGGGCGCGGUUAUGCCAGACUGAUACUCUGGAGUGCGGGAGAGGGGCGUGGAAUUCCGGGUGUAGUGGUGAAAUGCGUAGAGAUCCGGAGGAACACCGGUGGCGAAGGCGGAUCUCUGGGCCAUUACUGACGCUGAGGAGCGAAAGCGUGGGGAGCGAACAGG